rnacentral:rRNA from 1 species
GAUGAACGCUGGCGGCGUGCUUAACACAUGCAAGUCGAACGGAAAGGCCCAAGCUUGCUUGGGUACUCGAGUGGCGAACGGGUGAGUAACACGUGGGUGAUCUGCCCUGCACUUCGGGAUAAGCCUGGGAAACUGGGUCUAAUACCGGAUAGGACCACAUUUUGGAUGGUGUGGUGGAAAGUUUUUCGGUGUGGGAUGAGCUCGCGGCCUAUCAGCUUGUUGGUGGGGUAAUGGCCUACCAAGGCGUCGACGGGUAGCCGGCCUGAGAGGGUGUACGGCCACAUUGGGACUGGGAUACGGCCCAGACUCCUACGGGAGGCAGCAGUGGGGAAUAUUGCACAAUGGGCGAAAGCCUGAUGCAGCGACGCCGCGUGGGGGGUGACGGCCUUCGGGUUGUAAACUCCUUUCGCUAGGGACGAAGCGUUUUUGUGACGGUACCUGGAGAAGAAGCACCGGCUAACUACGUG